ACACAUAUAGCAAUCUUUUUCAUUUGUCUGGCCGCAGCAUCUUACUUUGGCACACAGCAUUUAUUUUAAGUUAAGGAUCUUCCAGUAUCAACAAGUCCAAUAUACUUUCCUUACAUGGAUCACUCAUCACACACAAAAAAACACAUAUAGCAAUCUUUUUUAGUUGUUUGGCCCCAGCAUCUUACUUUGACACACAGCAUUUAUUUUAAGUUAAGGAUCUUCCAGUAUCAACAAGACCAAUAUUCUGUUGCAGGCGUAAAGUGACUCUAAAUAUUAUCAUAACAUUCAGUCACUUGGCCACAGUCUUAUUUUGACAGUUAAGAAUCAACCAUUAUCAAAAAGACUAAAUUUAUCUUGUAUGAUUCAGGUGUAAAGCAAAUCUAUGCAUAAUAAUUACAUCCUCAUUCAGUAAUUGGGUCCCAUGAUCUUACACUUGGCAAUCAGCACUUAUUUACAUCAAGAAUCAUUCAUUACCAACAACAAGACUAGAUUUUUCUUAUACAACUCAGACGUAAAGUAAAUCUCUGCAUAAUAAUUACAUCCUCAUUCAGUAAUUGGGUCUCCUGAUCUUUCUGUUAGCAAUCAGCACUUAUUUACAUCAAGAAUCAUUCAUUACCAACAACAAGACUAGAUUUUUCUUAUACAACUCAGACGUAAAGUAAAUCUCUGCAUAAUAAUUACAUCCUCAUUCAGUAAUUGGGUCCCAUCAUCUUUCUUUUGGCAAUCAGCACUUAUUUACGUCAAGAAUCAUUUAUUACCAACAAGACUAGAUUUUUCUUAUACAACUCAGACGUAAAGCAAAUCUAUGCAUAACAAUUACAUCCUCAUUCAGUAAUUGGGUCCCAUGAUCUUACGCUUGGCAAUCUGCAUUUAUUUACGUCAAGAAUCAUUCAUUACUAACAAGACUAGAUUUUUCUUAUACAACUCAGACAUAAAGCAAAUCUAUGCAUAAUAAUUACAUCUCAUUCAGUAAUUGGGUCCCAUGAUCUUUCUUUUGGCAAUCAGCACUUAUUUACAUCGAGAAUCAUUCAUUACCAACAACAAGACUAGAUUUUUCUUAUACAACUCAGACAUAAAGCAAAUCUAUGCAUAACAAUUAUAUCCUCAUUCAGUAAUUGGGUCUCCUGAUCUUUCUGUUAGCAAUCAGCACUUAUUUACAUCAAGAAUCAUUCAUUACCAACAACAAGACUAGAUUUUUCUUGUACAACUCUGACGUAAAGUAAAUCUAUGCAUAAUAAUUACAUCUUCAUUCAGUAAUUGGGUCCCAUGAUCUUACGCUUGGCAGUCAGCAUUUAUUUAUGUUAAGAAUCAUUCAUUACCAACACCACGAAGACCAAAUUUCCAUUGCAGGAAAAAGGCAAAAAGCAGAUCAAUAUGUGUAGAAUCACUGCAUCCGGAGUCGGUCAUUUGGUCCCACAGUCUUAUCCUUGACAAUCGGCAUUUAUUUUAGUUAAGAAUUAGCUUUUUAUCAACGAGACUGAAUUUCUCUGCCAUGAUUCAGACACAAAGACAGGUCACAUAAUUACACCCACAGUCACUCAUUUGGUUCCAUGAUUUUAGUUUUGAGAAUCCACAUUUAUUUACAUUUAGAAUCAGCCAUUAUCAACGACAAGAUCAAACUGACCUCGUAUAAUUCAGACACAAGACAGGUCACAUAAUUGCACUAGUCACUCAUUUGGUUCCAUGAUUUUAUUUUCGACAAUCAGCAUUUAUUUACGUUCAGAAUCGGCCAUUAUCAACGACAAGAUCACAUUGACCUCGUAUGAUUCAGACACAAAGACAGGUCACAUAAUUACGCCUAGUCACUCAUUUGGUUCCAUGAUUUUAGUUUCGACAAUCACCAUUUAUUUACAUUUAGAAUCGGCCAGUAUCAACAACAAGAUCACAUUGACCUCGUAUGAUUCAGACACAAAGACAGGUCACAUUAUUACACCUAGUCACACAUUUGGUUCCACGAUUUUAUUUUCGACAAUCAGCAUUUAUUUGCGUUUAGAAUCAGCCAUUAUCAACGACAAGAUCAAACUGACCUCGUAUGGUUCAGACACAAAGACAGGUCACAUUAUUACACCUAGUCACUCAUUUGGUUCCAAGAUCUUAUUUUUGACAAUCAGCGGUACUUUUAGAAUCGGCUUUUAUCAACAACCUCAACAAAACCAAAUUGAUCUUGUAUGAUUCAGAAAAAAAUAGAGGUCACAUUAUUACACCCACAGUCAGUCAUUUCAUUUCACGGUUUUAUUUAUUUUACUUUCGACAAUCAGCAUUUAUUGACAUUUAGAAUCGGCUAUAUCAUCAACAUCAACAGAACCAAAUUGACCUCGUACGAUUCAGACACAAAGACAGGUCACAUUAUUACACACAGUCAGUGAUUUGGUCUCAUGAUUUUAUUUUCAACAAUCAGAACUUAUUGAUGAUAGAAUCGGGUAUUAUCAACAACAUCAACAAAACCAAAUUGACCUCGUACGAUUCAGACACAAAAACGGGUCACAAUCACACCCACAGUCAAUGAUUUGGUCCCACGAUUUUAUUUUCGACAAUCAGCAUAUAUUAACGGUUAGAAUCGGGUAUUAACAACAUCAACAAACCAAAUUGACCUCAUAUGAUUCAGACACAAAAACAGGUCACAUAAUCACACCCACAGUCAGUGAUUUGGUCCCAUGAUUUUAUUUUUGACAAUCAGCAUAUAUUGACGGUUAGAAUCGGCUAUUAUCAAAAACAAGUCCAACUAUUCCUUGUAUGAUUUAAACACAAGCACAGGUCACGUCAUUAAACUCAAUCAAUCAUUUGGUCCCACAAUUUUAUUUUCGACAAUCCGCAUUUAUAUUUAGUCAAGGAUUGAUCUUCAACAACAUCAACCAGAACGCCACAACUUAUGCCUAUCACCAUGUCGAGAAUGCGUCAAGUUACCGUAGUCACCGCCAGCCAGCUAAUCCAUUAUUCCUCGCCCUUCCCUUCACCCUCGACCCAGAGCAGCGGUGGUCACUGAUUCUGCUGGGAACUUCAGUAUAAACAUCUCCUCGUCCCUAGCAUGAAAAGAUAAAUUCAAAGUUCAGAUAUUAUUUUUCAACUGCAAACUGAAAUAAUAAAGGCCAGGUUAUUCCUAAGUUCAUAAGAUUGAUUCACUGUUCAUAUGUAUAUCUUAUCACAUACUAGAAUCACAAACUUAAAAGAUCAGUUCAGUGGGUCAGAUUUUUUUUUUACUAUCGCAGACUAAAAUGAUAAACACCAGAUUAUUCGUAAAGUCAUAAGAUUACGUAGUUCAAUGUUGACAUUUUUUAAUAAUAAGCCUGAUCAAUUCAUGGUUUGGAUAUUUUUUUUCUAUCGCAAACUAAAAUAAACUUGAGAAAAUGAGAGACAAGUCCAGGAAGAGGGUGUGGCUUAAAGGACAAGGUGGCUGGCAGUGACUAUGAAUGAGCCCUUCAGAAUCACAAGAUCGCAAGCACCAAUUAAUAAGGACGAGAAAGCUAUUAUUUAAGUUCGUUUUGUCUAUACAUCCUAAAAGCUACUGGACCUUUUUGAAUAAUCCUAAAGCCUCGUGUCACACUUCCACAAGACAAGACGCAUUCUUGAACCUGUUACCUUACGAGCAAAGAUUAUAAUGUCAUCUUUGUUGUGAGAUAAAAGAAGGAAAUACAGCAGAAGGAAGGCUGUUAGAUAAUCACAGUUGUACCUCAUAUCACACUUCCACAAGACAGGACACUCGCUUCACACUGUUACCUUAUUAGCAAAGACUAUAAUGUCUCCUUUGUGGUGAGAUUAAAGGAAGUAAAGAAAAAGGAAGGCUAUCAGAUCAUCAUUUUACCUCACGUCUCAUUUCCACGAGAGAGGACAUGUGAAUGAACUUUGUUACUCUAAAAUCAGUGUUCUAACUUUUGCCAUUAAAUAAGAGAGGGAAAUACGGCUAAACAAAGGCUGUUGGAUAAUAUUUUUACCUCACAUCACACCUGCUUGAACACAUUACUCUAAAAUCAGCGUUCUUUCUUCUUGGUCGUAGCAUAAGAGUAGGAAAUACAGCUAGGCAGAGGCACAAAAGCUGUUGGAUAAUGUUUUCAACUCACAUCACACUCCAAGUUAGAGGACAUCAUGUAACCUGUUGCCAGCACAAUCAGCAUCUUUGCCUUGGUGGUGCUUGCGGCCUUGUCACUCCAGUGGGCUCAUCGUUCGCUGCGUCACUGGUUGUUGGUCUCUGUGGCGUCCUCCUCCUCCUCCUCCUCCACCAUUCCAUUCUCGCUAAGUUUCGCUGCUAAGGUCAUUGUGAUAGUAGGUGUAUCUCUUGCUGCAGAACAAAAGAAAACAAAGGAGUUGACCAUGAAAGACUUGUGUUCCAGCUGCCCGCGAGACUCUUUGGUCAUCAGCGAGGCAGCGACUGUUUUAUACAAGUUUUGUAAAUAAAAUUGUAAUAACUAAACCUUA